rnacentral:rRNA from 1 species
UACGGGGGGGGCAAGCGUUGUUCGGAAUUACUGGGCGUAAAGGGCUCGUAGGCGGCCAACUAAGUCAGACGUGAAAUCCCCAGGCUCAACCUGGGAACUGCGUCUGAUACUGGAUGGCUUGAAUUCGGGAGAGGGAUGCAGAAUUCCAGGUGUAGCGGUGAAAUGCGUAGAUAUCUGGAGGAAUACCGGUGGCGAAGGCGGCAUCCUGGACCGACACUGACGCUGAGGAGCGAAAGCCAGGGGAGCAAACGGG